GACGAACGCUGGCGGCGUGCUUAACACAUGCAAGUCGAACGAAGUGGCGAACGGGUGAGUAACGCGUAAUCAACCUGCCCUUCAGGGGGGGACAACAGUUGGAAACGACUGCUAAUCCCGCAUACUGAAGGAGGGGAUUGCGUCUGAUUAGCUAGUUGGAGGGGGAACGGCCCACCAAGGGGAUGAUCAGUAGCCGGUCCGAGGGGAGGAACGGGCACAAUGGGAACGGGACACGGCCCAGACUUCUACGGGAGGCAGGAGGGGGGAAUCUUCCGGAAUGGACGAAAGUCUGAAGGAGCAACGCCGCGUGAGUGAUGACGGCCUUCGGGUUGUAAAGCUCUGUUAAUCGGGACGCGGUACCGGAAUAGAAAGCCACGGCUAACUACGUGCCAGCCGCCGCGGUAAUAC
rnacentral:rRNA from 1 species